GACGAACGCUGGCGGCAUGCCUAAUACAUGCAAGUCGAGCGGACUUGAUGGAGAAGCUUGCUUCUUCUGAAGGUUAGCGGCGGACGGGUGAGUAACACGUAGGCAACCUGCCUUUCAGUCUGGGAUAACUUCCGGAAACGGAUGCUAAUACCGAAUACAUCAUCUUCUGGCAUCAGAGGAUGAGGAAAGACGGCGCAAGCUGUCACUGAGAGAUGGGCCUGCGGCGCAUUAGCUAGUUGGUGGGGUAAUGGCUCACCAAGGCGACGAUGCGUAGCCGACCUGAGAGGGUGAACGGCCACACUGGCACGGAGAUACGGGCCAGACUCCUACGGGAGGCAGCAGUAGGGAAUAUUGGGCAAUGGGCGCAAGCCUGACCCAGCCAUGCCGCGUGCAGGAAGAAGGCGUUCUGCGUUGUAAACUGCUUUUAUAUAGGAAGAAACGGCCCUUGCGAGGGACAUUGACGGUACUAUAUGAAUAAGCACCGGCUAACUCCGUGCCAGCAGCCGCCGUAAAAC
rnacentral:rRNA from 1 species